rnacentral:rRNA from 1 species
CCGGCGAAUGGGUGAGUAACACGUAGGUAAUCUACCUUUUGCUGGUAGUAUAGCCAGAAGAAAUUCUGAUUAAUCCUCCAUAAUAUAAAAAUUCUGCAUGGAAUUUUUAUUAAAACUUAGGUGGCAAGAGAUGAGCCUGCGUCUGAUUAAGUUAGUUGGUAAGGUAAUGGCUCUACCAAGACUAUGAUCAGUAGGGGUCCUUAGAGGGCAAACCUCCAACUGGAACUGAGACACGGUCCAGACUUCUACGGAAGGCAGCAGUGAGGAAUAUUGGUCAAUGGAGGGAACUCUGAACCAGCUACGCCGCGUGAAGGACGACAGCUUUUUUGGUUGUAAACUUCUUUUGUAUAGAAAUAAAAUUUCCUACGUGUGGGAAACUGAAGGUACUAUACGAUAUAAGUGUCGGCUAAUUACGUGCCAGCAGCCGCGGUAAUACGUAAGACACAAGCGUUAUCCGGAUUUAUUGGGUUUAAAGGGUGUGUAGGCUGUUCAUUAAGUCAGUAGUGAAAGCUUACAGCUUAACUGUAAAAUUGCUAUUGAUACUGAUAAUCUUGAGUAAGAUUGGAGCAUUUGGAAUGUAUGGUGUAGCGGUGAAAUGCAUAGAUAUCAUACAGAACACCAAUAGCGAAGGCAGGAUGCUAAAUCUUUACUGACGCUGAGGCACGAAAGCGUGGGGAUCAAACAGGAUUAGAUACCCUGGUAGUCCACGCCCUAAACGAUGAUCACUAACUAUUGGAAAAACUAUAUUCAGUGGCUAAGCGAAAGCGAUAAGUGAUCCACCUGGGAAGUAUAGUCGCAAGAUUGAAACUCAAAGGAAUUGACGGGGUUCCGCACAAGCGGUGGAGCAUGUGGUUUAAUUCGAUGAUACGCGAGGAACCUUACCAAGGCUUAAAUGUAUUACGAAUAAACUGGAAACAGUUUAGUCAUAUAUGACGGAAUACAAGGUGCUGCAAUGGUUGUCUUCAGUUCGUGCUGUGAAGUGUUUGGUUAAGUCCUAUAACGAGCGCAACCCCUAUUGAUAGUUGCCAUCGGGUUAUGCUGGGGACUCUAACAAAACUGCCGGUGUAAACUGCGAGGAAGGUGGGGACAAAGUCAAAUCAUCAUGGUCUUUAUGCCUUGGGCUACACACGUGCUACAAUGGCUGGUACAAAGGGCAGCCACUGGGCGACCAGGAGCUAAUCUCUAAAACCAGUCUCAGUUCAGAUUGGAGUCUGCAAUUCGACUCUAUGAAGCUGGAAUCGCUAGUAAUCGCGCAUCAGCAAUGGCGCGGUGAAUAGGUUCUCGGAACUUGCACACAC